rnacentral:lncRNA from 1 species
UUCAGUGAGCUCUUGGUGACUUCUGGCUGGGGAACCCAUCUUCAGGGGCUAGGUUGAAACUAGUAAUGCCCACCUGGAACCUGGCUGGCCUCCAAUGCAAGAACAAGCAACAGCUUAGCAGAGCACUGGAUCCAAUUGUGCCCCCCAAGUCCUUUUCUCUUUCCCACCCGCCCCAAGCUCAAGACAACCAGACCCAGCGAAGCCAAGGUUAGGGCCAUUCCAGAAGGCUGGAAAAAGAUGAGGCACCAUGGCCAUCACUGUCGGCUCCUUGGGACUCCAGUGCUCACCACCCAUCUGAGGGCAGAGAGACACCCCUUGGAGGCCGGCCGCCCCUUAGAAGCCAUGCUGAGCUGGACCAGGCCCGGGAGUCCAGUUGACCCAGCUCACCCCCUGGGCCUCGGGGCAUGUGCCUAGCUUCAUGUUGAGGGUGUACGUGUGGCUGGCCCGGGAGUGUGAGUGCGGUAGAGGGAGGGGCCCUCCGAGCUGCUCCAUCCGUCCGUUUUAUUAGGGACACAUUAAUCUAUAAUCAAAUACACCUCAUAAAAUUUUUA